rnacentral:piRNA from 1 species
UAAUUGGAGUGCUGGGCCUGGG